rnacentral:rRNA from 1 species
GACGAACGCUGGCGGCGUGCUUAACACAUGCAAGUCGAACGGAAAGGCCCUGCUUUUGUGGGGUGCUCGAGUGGCGAACGGGUGAGUAACACGUGAGUAACCUGCCCUUGACUUUGGGAUAACUUCAGGAAACUGGGGCUAAUACCGGAUAGGAGCUCCUGCUGCAUGGUGGGGGUUGGAAAGUUUCGGCGGUUGGGGAUGGACUCGCGGCUUAUCAGCUUGUUGGUGGGGUAGUGGCUUACCAAGGCUUUGACGGGUAGCCGGCAUGAGAGGGUGACCGGCGACAUGGGGCCUGAGAGACGGACCAGACUCCUACGGGAGGCAGCAGUGGGGAAUAUUGCACAAUGGGCGGAAGCCUGAUGCAGCAACGCCGCGUGCGGGAUGACGGCCUUCGGGUUGUAAACCGCUUUCGCCUGUGACGAAGCGUGAGUGACGGUAAUGGGUAAAGAAGCACCGGCUAACUACGUG